rnacentral:rRNA from 1 species
GACGAACGCUGGCGGUGUGCUUAACACAUGCAAGUCGAACGGUAAGGCCCUUUCGGGGGUACACGAGUGGCGAACGGGUGAGUAACACGUGAGUAACCUGCCCUCAUCUCUGGGAUAACAGUCGGAAACGGUUGCUACUACUGGAUAUGAGCUUGCAAGGCAUCUUGUGGGUUGGAAAGAUUUUUUUUGGUUGGGGAUGGACUCGCGGCCUAUCAGCUUGUUGGUGAGGUAGUGGCUCACCAAGGCUUCGACGGGUAGCCGGCCUGAGAGGGCGACCGGCCACAUUGGGACUGAGAUCAGGCCCAGACUCCUACGGGAGGCAGCAGUGGGGAAUAUUGCACAAUGGACGAAAGUCUGAUGCAGCAACGCCGCGUGCGGGAUGACGGCCUUCGGGUUGUAAACCGCUUUCAAUUGUGACGAAGCUUUUUUGUGACGGUAGCAGUAGAAGAAGCACCGGCUAACUACGUG